CAAGGACAGGGGGAUGGUGGUGAAGGAUUGGGUAGAGCAGGCGGAGAUCCUGCGGCACCGGGUGGUGGGAGGCUUCGUGAGCCACUACGACUGGAACUCAGUGACGGAGGCGGCACUGUACGAAUACCGAGUCGUUGCCGCUCCGCCUCCAAAUCUUGGAGGAUGGAUCUGAACCUCUAUUUGGGUCUGCCUCGUUCUCCGCCUUCUCACAGUCGUGAUCUAGGGUCUGAUCUCUCACUCAACUCGUUGCCCUGGUCAUCUCCUACCACCACCGUCGAGGAAAGGGGUUCUUCGAUUCCUAUGUCUGGCGCUGUGGAACCAUCGGAGUCACAUCCUCCGUACUCUCCCUCCCACGAGGAGUACAACCCUGAGCUGCUGGUUGCUCUUCCAGAGGAUAGUGAUGGCACUUCGUACUUGUGAGAAUUUGAGACCUUUUGUGAAAUUUUGAGAUCUUUCUCAAGCUCCCUUCUUUGGUCUUGUUUCUUUUUCCUUCUUGUUGUCCUUUGUCUUGCCAUUGCAUUCGAGUCCCAAAUCAGCAAUAUAAAUUGAUUAAUCUAUAUGUCUCAGAAAAGUAGAUAUAAGACGACAUUGACAUGUUCAGUAUUUGAUUGAAUCUUGCUCAAGAAUGCUCUGAAGGAGAUCCUACUGGCCCCUCUCAGAUCUUUUAUUCCCUUUUAGCAACGAAGACAACAUGAUGAUUUUCUUGUCAGUGAGAAGCCAUUCUUUUUCAGAUCUCCAAAUGCCUUGAUCAAUCAAGCUGAUUCUCAACUUGGAGUGCUAGUGCAUAAUCAUCCUUGUCCAACUCAAGCAAUCUCCAGGCAAAAUCAAUACCAAACUUGCAUCGUGGUCUAAUUGCAUGCCAGAGAUGAUCUCUCUUCUUUUCCUUUUGCCGCUUUAUCUUUCCCUUUCUUUUUUACCGUCACUGCCUGCUGUAAAUUUCAGACAUUCCUGGCCAUGUUUGUGGCUCAAAGAUCCCAAAAGCCAGCUUGGACUCGUCAAUGGCCACCUCCACAUCUCAGAUGCCCACCACGCCCCCUCUCUCUUUUCCUCAGAGCAAACGUUGAUCCUUGAGCUCGGCACAAUCCCCUCCUCCUCGAUCCUCUCGUUGCCUUGUUCCUAGGUAUGCUUUCCUUUAGAAAAGCAACAAACAAAGAUGCUCUCAUUCCCUUGCUGAACUCCUGGAAUCAAUGGGAACAACUUUGCCUGCACACUAUAUAACCAACACUAAUCUCAUAAUAGUUUUACUGGUUCCCUUUGUUUUCAUGUGAUUAUUCGCUUCUCGCACACACAGAAUCUUCCUCUGCUUAUUGCAACCUAGGAGUUUGUAUGGAGACUAUAGAGCUAAAGGUGGACAUGGUAGCAUUACAUGAGGAGAGAUUGAGGAAAUGUUUGUCCAAAGUGAAAGGCUCCUCGACAACAAGAUGUCAAAUAAUGUGGUUACUAUGUGAUGCGAUUUAUGAGACAAAUUGUUGAAGAAGUUGAAAUUAUCGAAAGAGAUUCACUAUGAUCUAUAUUCACACAAGCAGAGUAUUCUCGAGAAGAAAUUGAUGAGGUGCGAUCGGAGUUGGCAGAAUGUAUACAAGAUCAUAUUUAUGAGUAGGUGCGUUCAAGUUUAUGUGGAUACAGGACAGUCGAGAUCAGUACACUAAGGAGCGUCUGGAUUCAGUAAUUGAUCAGUACACUAAGCGUCUGGAUUCAGUAACUACUGUACUAUUUUGAGUAAACAGAUUGUUAGCUACUUUAGUAUUCAGUAUUCAGUAAACAGAUUGUAGCUAUUCAAAACAAAUUUUUUGUGCUCUUUUGUUUUAUAUGUGAAUAUCACUAUAUACUUUGAAAUAGAAUUAGUGUUAA